UCAAGCCCCACAAACAACCAAAAACAUAAAAUAAAACAGGGCAUCAUAAAUGUACUUGUGUUCAUUUAAUAACACCAAAUCUCACAUUAUCAAAGAGCCUCUCAAAUACAACUUUGAAUAAUUACUGUAUCAUAUGGAUGGUAUCUACCAUAAUGUGCUUAGUCAAAGCUAAGCUAUCUCAUAUAUAUAUGUACAUCUGUUAUGUUAAAAUUAACAUUAGUAUCUUUUCAAAUGUUUGCUUACAGGAGAUGGAGGCCUUAACACAGAACACUAAUAGCACUCUUGUUUUAUCUCUAAAGGCAAACAAAAAACUGGUCCUCUACCAUCGCUAUACGAAUCGAGCGCUGGUGGCCCAUCGGAACCUGUUCUUAAGGACGUACUUUGGAAAAGAAGUUGAGGUUGCAGCUCACACAUAUCUGGAUUCACAGAGAGUGGAAAAGCCAAAGAACGUAUGGCUUUUAGUGACUGCGAGCCCCAGGGAUGACGAGGCCACCAUGCUGGACGUGGCCAAGCCCAGGGCCGAGGACACCCGUGCUGUGGAGCAGGCCAUGGGCCUUGGCCCGCAGUGACACACGCCCCACGCAGUCCUGUUCUUUCUGACCUUGCUCUUGCCAAAUACAGCUUCCAACCAGAGACCUGGG